AUUGAACGCUGGCGGCAUGCCUUACACAUGCAAGUCGAACGGCAGCACGGGAGCAAUCCUGGUGGCGAGUGGCGAACGGGUGAGUAAUAUAUCGGAACGUGCCCAGUCGUGGGGAUAACGUAGCGAAAGCUACGCUAAUACCGCAUACGAUCGUAUGGAUGAAAGCGGGGGAUCGCAAGACCUCGCGCGAUUGGAGCGGCCGAUAUCAGAUUAGGUAGUUGGUGAGGUAAAGGCUCACCAAGCCGACGAUCUGUAGCUGGUCUGAGAGGACGACCAGCCACACUGGGACCUGAGACACGGGCCCCAGACUCCUACGGGGAGGCCAGCAGUGGGGGAAUUUUUGGACAAUGGGCGCAAGCCUGAUCCAGCAAUGCCGCGUGCAGGAUGAAGGCC
rnacentral:rRNA from 1 species